rnacentral:lncRNA from 1 species
CCUCCCUUCUUAUUAUAAAGAGAAGAAAAAAGAAGAGGAUCUAUAUAGAAAGUCAAGAAAGAAGAUGUGCAGCCAUUGAGGAACAAAGACAGCUCUCCCAACUGCUUCAGGUGGUGAGAGCUGAGUAGGGAGAGUGCCUCAUCUCCCUUCCCCUCCCUAUCCUCUCCCCCAACCUAUACACACCACCUGGAGGCAGACACACUCCCUUGACCAGGGCCAGCAUUACUGGCUGUGCAGAGUGUGCUGAGUCCUCUGUGGCUGCUAUAGAUGGGACAAUGUGACACAGUUCUACCUAUGGAGCAGAGCUAGCAAGAUGUUCUCCCUGCCAACGUUACCAUGGAAUGCUCUCUCUGACAAGGUUGAUGGCUCCAUGACAAUUAGAAGCAACACAAAUCUGGAAGCCUGUCCUUGAUCCAGAUAUCCCUCCUCAGGAAGACGAACUCUCCAUAGGUC